rnacentral:lncRNA from 1 species
GAAACUAUAUUCCAAACCAUACACUUUAAACCUAAACAUAAUACCCUAAAUCAUAAAUUCAAACACCAAAACUAAUAUUUUCAAACUCAAAUGUUAAACAUAAAUUACAAUCUCUAUACCCCAAAUCAAAAACAUAAUCUUUAAAGAAUUUAACUAUUUAAACUAAAUAAAUAAUGCUCAAUACAUAAUUAUUAGUUAUUUAUAUAAAUAUUUAAAAUCUUUACACAUAAACUUUAUCUCUUUGUUUGGUAAGCAUGUAAACUUCAUCUAAAAUUAAAAAAAAACAGUAUCUUUAAUUCUAAGGCUUAAACUAUUAAACAUAAACAAACCCUCUAUAACCCCUAAACUCAAACCCUAAAACCUUUAAUUCUAAAUAAAAACUAAACACUAUUGUAUAACUAAACUUGCUCUUAAAUCCUAAACUAUAAAUAUACUUUAAUAAAAGUGACACUUAAUUUUAUAUUUUCAUACUAUAAACUAGUCUUUUAUUUUGAACUAAAUCACC